GCACUGUCCAGUACAGGCAGACACAAAUCUCGCAUCGUUCCAUUCUUAUUUAAUAUAUAAUUUUGAAAUGAAUAAAGAAAUCACGUACUAUUAAAACCAACUCCUCAUGUGUUUAUUUUCGUGUAAGAGCGCCGAAAAUACAUGACAGAUUUCGAAGAGAUUCCGUAUUACAAUCCUACAUUACAUUCUGCUUUAAGUACACGUUACUUGAAUGCGUAAUCAUUUUGAUUAAACUGUGUGUGUGUGUGUGUGUGGCGCGUUUAUUGGUCAUGAAAUUUAUUAGUGCUGAAGUCUAAUCAACUUUUAAUUAUAUUUCGAUAUAGUUUUGGUGUAAUGUAUUUGUUAUUCGUAUUAUUAACCGUUCAUGUUAAUAUAUUCUAUUGUUUUGAUACAGCCUAUAAGAAAAGUCGCCGAACAUCGUCCGUUCUCCUAGUUCCAUGCGCUGUCGUUUUCGUGUUCUAUGGUGGUGCACUCUGUUGAUUUUAAGUGGUACCUGGUCACGUUGCAAAGCAGUGUAGCUGUCUGCUGUUGCAAUAGAACGUGUUGUGACUGCUAUUGAUUUCUCAAGGCAGGGCUUUUGGGAGGUUAUGUCACACACACAGCGUCUGUAUUACUAUUGUUAAAACCAUAAAUUGUGCGAAACAGAUGCUAUGAGAUAGAAGGAUCAGUAGCAAAAGAAAUUUGUAUGGUCAAAGAAUACGAACCAGCGCAAAUAACGGAAUGUCUAAGAACAAAUAAUUUAUGAAUUUAGAAGUUGUGUAGAAUAACAUAUUUCAGUUUAUGAAGACUUUAUAAAAUCAAGAGGUUAGGAGACAUUUUACAUUGUAAAUUAUAUACAGCUCAAAUUAAACAGUCUGUGAUGUAUAAACAAAGUCAACACCGUCCAUUUGAAACGUACUUUUCGCUAAAGAGAUGCCUCUUGUCCAAUGUAUUUCAUUAAAUAAGGUGAUGUGUGCGUGUGUUCUAACCUUAUUUUGUCCGACCUUCUUUUUCAGUGUGCAAACAUUUUUUGUUUAUCAUAGCCAUUGUGUUUCUGGAAGUCAGAACGUCGAUACACAUCUUUGAGACAUGUUGGCUGUACCUUGUUCUUUGCCGACGCACUACGAAUCAGUAUCUUAUAUACAGAGUGUUACAAAAUUACGCAAUGGUAGAAAAACUCAAAACGAAAAUGUGAAAGGAUGAAUUGUGUACAGGGGACCGUCAGAUGGGACAAGUGUAUGAAUCACACUGUGGGAGGACCAAAUUUAUAGGACGUGAUAUACAGCUCUUUAAUACGAAAUUAUUCCGUGCGAUACAACGGUGGACAGUGGUCGGCGGUCAGCUGCUUCUCUGCACCGUCGUACCAUGCCAGGAAGACAUCAGCAAGGAGAGGAGAUGGAGUCAAACCAAAUUCUCAGCUGUUCUCAAGUAGGCGGCAGGUGCAAGUGGACCGAUGCAUUGGUUCCUCUGAACAAGGUGAGAGAGAGGAACCUCUUUUGUGACGCGGUGUUGAGGUUGGACGACGGCGGCGUCUUUCCAGUCCACAGAUUGAUUCUGUCGAUGGACAGCGAAUAUUUCAGGACCCUCUUCACAACAACACUGCACACCA